AAGGGGAUUCGAUCACUUUGUCAAUGUAUGUGUGAGCAUCACUUCUGCUUUGUUGACGGCAGGAAUGGCUUCAAAAUUAAAUCAACGAUAAACUCUAAAUAAAAAGCAGUUUUACGAUAGAAAAAUUGAUUGUUCGUGAAUCGACACAACAAAAGUGUUCAUUGCUAACGCGCACCGGCACUCGGCAACUGGCCGCGAUAAUACAUAUAGCACGGUAAAAUACGGUGUUAUUUUCUGAAUAAGCUUGUGACAAGAGCUUCUAUAUAGUCAAAGUUGACAACAAGAGUGUUUUUAGUAUCUACGAUAUUCUUGUGUGGUAAGUGAACAAUUUUAUUUGAUCGUAUAAUUAUUGUAUGUGACGAUCCAUAGUCGUCAACUCGUGCGACUUCACAACAUAACUGUGGUGGAUCAAAGUGCUUUGUGCUCCGAUCACUUCAGAA